rnacentral:rRNA from 1 species
UACGGAGGGAGCUAGCGUUGUUCGGAAUUACUGGGCGUUAAGCGCACGUUGGCGGCGACUCAAGUCCGAGGUGAAAGCCCGGGGCUCAACCCCGGAACUGCCUUUGAAACUAGGUUGCUAGAAUCCUGGAGAGGUGAGUGGAAUUCCGAGUGUAGAGGUGAAAUUCGUAGAUAUUCGGAAGAACACCAGUGGCGAAGGCGACUCACUGGACAGGUAUUGACGCUGAGGUGCGAAAGCGUGGGGAGCAAACAGG